rnacentral:rRNA from 1 species
UACGUAGGGGGCAAGCGUUGCCGGAUUUAUUGGGCGUAAAGAGCGUGUAGGCGGCUGGGUAGGUCCGCUGUGAAAACUCGAGGCUUAACCUCGAGACGUCGGUGGAAACCCUCCAGCUAGAGUCCGGAAGAGGAGAGUGGAAUUCCUGGUGGUAGCGGUGAAAUGCGCAGAUAUCAGGAGAACACCCGUGGCGAAAGCGGCUCUCUGGGACGGUACUGACGCUGAGACGCGAAAGCGUGGGGAGCGAACAGG